rnacentral:rRNA from 1 species
UUCUCUUGAGAGCGGCGGACGGGUGAGUAAUACCUAGGAAUCUGCCUGAUAGUGGGGGAUAACGUUCGGAAACGGACGCUAAUACCGCAUACGUCCUACGGGAGAAAGCAGGGGACCUUCGGGCCUUGCGCUAUCAGAUGAGCCUAGGUCGGAUUAGCUAGUUGGUGAGGUAAUGGCUCACCAAGGCUACGAUCCGUAACUGGUCUGAGAGGAUGAUCAGUCACACUGGAACUGAGACACGGUCCAGACUCCUACGGGAGGCAGCAUGGGGAAUAAUGGACAAUGGCGAAAGCCUGAUCCAGCCAUGCCGCGUGUGUGAAGAAGGUCUUCGGAUUGUAAAGCACUUUAAGUUGGGAGGAAGGGCAUUAACCUAAUACGUUGGUGUCUUGACGUUACCGACAGAAUAAGCACCGGCUAACUCUGUGCCAGCAGCCGCGGUAAUACAGAGGGUGCCAAGCGUUAAUCGGAAUUACUGGGGCGUAAA